ensembl:snoRNA SNORD81 Small nucleolar RNA SNORD81
CAUAUAUGAUGAUUUCCCCUCAAAUUCAACUCACUCAUUGAUUACUUGAUGUUGAGGAAAGAUCUGAUAUUGUG